GAUUCUUCUGCUUCAGCCUCCUGAGUAGCUGGAACUAUAGAGUGCCAGGAUUACAAGCGUGAGCCACCGUGCUUGGCCAGGAGCCAGCCCUUUUGAGAGCUGGAGAAGAGUAUUCUGAGCACAGGGAAUAGCAAGUGCAAAGGCUCCAUGUGUUUAAGAGCAGGAAAGUUGACCAGUGUGGCUGUAGAGGAACAAGUGGGCUGGGAGGUCAGCUGGGGUUAGGCCCUGUAGACCACGAGAAAAGGACUUUGUAUUUUGUAGUAGGUGCAAUAGGAAUCCACUGGAAAGUUUUGAACAGUAUAGGAAUAUGACUUGAUUUAUAAAGGACCUUAGAAUACA